GCGAAGAACCUUACCUACUCUUGACAUCUACAGAAGCCAGCGGAGACGCAGGUGUGCCUUCGGGAACUGUAAGACAGGUGCUGCAUGGCUGUCGUCAGCUCGUGUUGUGAAAUGUUGGGUUAAGUCCCGCAACGAGCGCAACCCUUAUCCUUGUUUGCCAGCACUUCGGGUGGGAACUCCAGGGAGACUGCCGGUGAUAAACCGGAGGAAGGUGGGGACGACGUCAAGUCAUCAUGGCCCUUACGAGUAGGGCUACACACGUGCUACAAUGGCGCAUACARRGGGCGGCCAACUUGCGAAAGUGAGCGAAUCCCAAAAAGUGCGUMGUAGUCCGGAUUGGAGUCUGCAACUCGACUCCAUGAAGUCG
rnacentral:rRNA from 1 species